UCUAGGGUCAUUGAUUUCUUUAUCUAUCUGAUGAGAGGAUAGGACUAAGACACCUGUAAGGAUUGUUCCCAGCUCAAACCUUCUCAAAGAACUCUGAUUGAUUGCAUGUAACAGAAGCUAACUUAAGCUGGAGUACAAGGGUGAGAAGGAGCAGAGAUGAUGUGGAUAAGGAAUUUACCAGACAAUGCAAGGGUUUCUGUGGAACUCUGGCAAGGGGUCCAGCCAGGCCUCAGGAGGAACAGAAACCAAGACUGGAAAGCUUCUGGGAACCAGCAUCUUUAGAAUGCUCCUGUGAACAUUAUGACAAUGUGGCUCAUGGGAAAACCCUAAACUCUACGUUACCAGGCUGUGCCAGAGAGUCUCCUUUCUUGCUACUUUAUCAAAAGCAACUGAAUCAAAUUUCCAGCCAGAAUUUCAGGGUGAAACUUAGAAGUCCCUCAAGAAGCAAACUACGAGCCAACCAGCAUCCAUUCUUGGACUCCGCCCCAGCCGCCUGAAUGACAUAAUUAAUAUUUAGGGAUGGCAGUGAUUAGAAAGACCCACACUACCCCGUCUGUUUGGGUGACGAAGAGGAACAAUGUACUUUGUAAAAUAAAAAUGGAAGAGGAGGAUACUUGUGAUAUUUUUCCUACGAACACAAAGCAGGUGCAAAUAAAAACUCAAAACAACAACAACAAUAAAAUUGAGCUGGUUUUAGAA